UAUUAUUAGUUAAUGCAAGAUCGACUAUGUCGACUAAAGUUCUAGGUAGAAUAAUGAUGAUGACAAUUUUUUACCUAUAUGUCUUGACCAAAUCUCGUGCCAGCAGUCGCGGUAAUACGUGGAAGACUAGUGUUAUUCAUCUUUAUUAGGUUUAAAGGGUACCUAGACGGUAUUUCUAGCCCAAGAUAGGGUACGGAUUUACUAGAGUUUUAUGUGAGGAGGGGAGUACUUCGUGGAGUAGAGAUGAAAUUUUGUUAUACUAUGAGGUAACUGGGUGGCGGCGAAAAGCAAACCUUCUAUGUAUAAACUGACGUUGAGGGACGAAGGCUUUGGGUAGCAAAUAGGAUUAGAUACCCUAGUAGUCCAAGCAGAACAAUUCUGGAAUGCCAUAGAUUAGAUUUAUUUUUUGGUCCUAAUAAAUGAAAAGUGUAAAGCAUUUCCACCUUUAGGAAGUAAAUGUGGGCAACACAGGGAAACUGAAAAUCAUUUAGACCGUUUCUGAAAACCAAGUAGUGAAAGUUAUUGUUAUUUUAAAUUUGGAUGGUCCAACAAAAAAACUUUACCAACAACUUUGA
rnacentral:rRNA from 1 species